GCCCAUUAUCACACUAAACAUUCUGAAUCCCUAGGUGGUUAAGCUUUGACUCCAUAGCAUAGCAGCUCCCCUGAUCGUCGGAUCGUGGUACCAAGCUUCCAAGGAUGAUAUCAAGUAUUCAUCACUAGCAAAACCACCACCAUCUGAAUACGUAAACGCAUCUAGGUGGUAUACGCACAUCGAUGCUCUUCUGAGAAUCCCGCCACAGUUGUAGAGGAUGACGAUGAUGUAGACCUAUUUAGUGAGGAAACUGAAGAGGAAAAAAUAGUUGCUGAAGAGCGUGCUGCAGCUUUGAAGGCUUCUGGAAAGAAUAAAGAAUUCCUCAGUUCUUUUGGAUGUAAAGCCAUGGGAUGAUGAGACUGAUAUGAAGAAGCUUGAAGAACUGUUCAGAUGGAAGGAUUGUUUUGGGGAGCAUGAAAUUAUUACUGCAUGGAGGCGAUUGAGAUGAGCGAUGAAUCAUCUUGAAGUUUCAAGUUCUUUUUCUCCUCUCUGUGGGUUUCCUAUUUUGUUUUUCUAAGAAAGUUAGAUCUGGUACAGUCCAUCUGUUUUGUUCCUUUGGAUGGAUUUUAUGAAGAGUUGGGUAGUUUCCUUGAAAGGGUUGGAAUUUUGCACUUGAUGAAUGCAAAUACGAUAUCCAAGUUAUUUCUGUAGAUAUCUGCAUAGCUGCAACACUACAAUGUUUCCCACCAGUACAUUUUGCAACAUUGACGCAUGAGUUGAAACUUAAAAUCUCCUAUCUAAAUUUUUACUGAAUCAUGUCA